CCCCAGGGAGUGUCCUGACACACCAACCAGUGCCCUCGUCUCUAUUUACUCACACUUUCAUCCACAAUACGGAAGGCUGGCUGUUUCAGACAGGUGUAAGUUUAAGAUUGAAGGGAGGGACGAGGGCCUGAGAUAGGGCGCUUCAGGUGCAAAGGCCACCGAUAAUAAAGGCUUCUUACGCUACACAGCAGUGAGGAAGGAAGGAGCGUAUGUGGAGUCUGUUUCCGUGAGUCACCUGUCUCAUCGCGUCCUGUUCUUUGUAGCCAUCGCGUUCCUAUGGAUACCCUAAGGCCCAAAUUAAAUAUUACAGAAUUUUUGUUUGGCAGAGAUUGCCAACAUUAAGCCACACAACUGGUAUCACAAGACAUUGGCAGGUGAUGGCGCACCAACCCCGGGGCCAGAAGACAAGGGCCUUUCGUCGUAUCAGUGAGCAGCCCCCAGGGGCUCUUUGCUGCCACUGACUCCUCUCCCUGAGCCUGGACUCCAUUACUACUACCCUCCUCAGCACUCUGGCUGACUCUCUGUGCCUCCAGCCUUGUAUCUUCUGAUGUGUCUACAUCACAAAUGUGACCAUGCGAUCUCCUGCUUAAGUCCUUCCAGGAGCUCCCCACACCUGCAGGGUCAUGCUCAAAGAGCACCACAGGUGACAGGCACGGUGUGACCCAGCUCUUGCCACCACUCCAUGGGCCGUCCACUGACUUGACCUGGCCACAUCCAGCUCCUGCUCACCACUGGGCCGUCCACUGACUUGACCUGGCCACAUCCAGCUCCUGCCACCACUCCAUGGGCCGUCCACUGACUUGACCUGGCCACAUCCAGCUCCUGCUCACCACUCCAUGGGCCGUCCACUGACUUGACCUGGCCACAUCCAGCUCCUGCCACCACUCCAUGGGCCGUCCACUGACUUGACCUGGCCACUCAAGCCACUGGUAUUCCCUAGGUGGGCCCACCUCUCACGACAUGACACAGGAAGGCAGACGGUCCCACGGAAGGAACAAAAACCUCUUCACCUUGAAGACACAGUUCAAGCAUCCCCUUCUCCAAUUUUUUCCUCCUGAGUCUCCAAGUGGAACAACUCCAUCAUUGUGGCCCUAUCCCCGCGUAUAGGCCUCUGGCUCAGUACGGGUAAACUGCUAUUGGUCUUCUUAACUUCCAAGUUCUGCACAGAAAUGCACAGGCCCUGAAGGCAGCUGGCUCCAUGAGCCUUGGGACAGAGAGAAAAGCUCUGAGAAGGAAGCUUUGACACCAGAAGGGAGUCUGUCUCCAGGAAAUAACAAAAACAGACUUACAUCAAGAGGAUCACUGGAUGGAACAAAACAAAGCAAAGAGAAAGUUUAAAAUUUUCUCAGAGAGUUAAAAAUAUGAAAAAGGGAGAUGAGAAUAAAAUUUAUGGGGCUACUAUGAAUUCAUGAUUUUUAAUUAUUUAUAUCAUCUAUCUCCAUCUCCCUCAAUAUUUCCAUAUAUCUUUAUCUACAGUUAUUUCCUUGCUCUGUCUGCCAAGAAAAGCCUAGAAGCAAUGACAUUCCAGUAGCAAUGGGCACUCAGCACCCAGAUCUUGAUUUCUUAAAAUCAUUUUCCAUUCAAAGGAAUCAAGAUUCCCUGGGAAAAAAAUGGCUGAUUCCACAGCUGGGGCUGGGAAGAUACACCUUAAGAACACCUUAAGCC
ensembl:lncRNA